rnacentral:rRNA from 1 species
UACGGAAGGCAGCAGUAGGGAAUAUUGGGCAAUGGGCGAGAGCCUGACCCAGCCAUGCCGCGUGCAGGAAGAAGGCUUUCUGAGUCGUAAACUGCUUUUUGACAGGGAAGAAUAAGCACUACGUGUAGUGUGAUGACGGUACCUGCAGAAUAAGCACCGGCUAACUCCGUGCCAGCAGCCGCGGUAAUACGGAGGGUGCGAGCGUUGUCCGGAUUUAUUGGGUUUUAAAAGGGUGCGUAGGCGGCUUUUUUUAAAGUCUGGGGUGAAAGCCCGCUGCUCAACAGCGGAACUGCCCCUGGAUACUGGAGAGCUUGAGUACAGACGAGGUUGGCGGAAAUGGACUGAGUAGCGGUGAAAAUGCAUAGAUACAGUCCAGAACCCCGAUUGCGAAAGGCAGCUGACUAGGGCUGUUACUGACGCUGAGGCACGAAAGCGUGGGGAGCGAAACAGGAAUUAGAUACC